rnacentral:lncRNA from 1 species
AGUUCAUUGUAAACUUGCCAAGGGAGCCGCCCACAGACACGAGAGAGCUGCUUUGGGACAGUGAAUUACUCUUCUUUUGAGACGGUCUAAUGAUGCCUGGGUGGUGCCUUCGUAGGACGGUCGUCACACCUGAACAAGGGGGUCCCCGGCCCCGGGCCCCAUGCUUUACUGGGCCCUGUUCUGUCCCUCUUCUGGCAUCAUCUCCCAUGGAGAAAAGAAUGUGUUGAAGCCAAGAAGAUGCUCCCCCCAAGAAUAUCAUCUCUGCUAGAACAGGGGCUGGAGUGUAACGGCGUGAUCUCGGCUCACUGCACCCUCGACUUCCUGGAUUCAGGUGAUCCCCUCACCUCAGCCUCCCCAGUAGCUGGUGUGUCCGGAAUUGGUGGGUUCUUGGUCUCACUGACUUCAAGAAUGAAGCCGCGGACCCUCGCG